ACCUAAAAAAAUAAUAGCUCAGUUGGGAGAACGUUAGACUGAAGAUCUAAAGGUCCCUGGUUCGAUCCCAGGUUUCGGCA